CCUCCCCGGCACACCUGGACUCGAUUCCUGCCCCCCCAAAUAAAGCCCAGGUGUGAUCCAGGUGUGCCCAGGUGUGCUCCAGGUGUGUCCAUGUCUAUCCAGGUGCGCCCAGGUGCGCCCAGGUGCGCUCAGGGGGGCGGCAGGAGGGGCGUGGGCACACCUGGCACCCCCGGAACCGCACAGGUGACCCCUCCAGGUGUGUCCACGUCCAUCCAGGUGCGUUCCACGUCCAUCCAGGUGUAUCCAGGUGCGCUCCAGGUGUGCCCACGUCCAUCCAGGUGCGCCCAGGUGUGCUCCAGGUGUGUUCCACGUCCAUCCAGGUGUAUCCAGGUGCGCCCAGGUGCGCUCAGGGGGGCAGCAGGAGGGGCGUGGGCACACCUGGCAGCCCUGGAACCGCACAGGUGACCCCUCCAGGUGUGUCCACGCCCAUCCAGGUGUAUCCAGGUGUGCCCACGUCCAUCCAGGUGCGCCCAGGGCGGGGUCAGGAGGGGCGUGGGCACACCUGGCAGCCCUGGAACCGCACAGGUGACCCCUCCAGGUGUGUCCACGCCCAUCCAGGUGUAUCCAGGUGUGCUCCAGGUGUGCCCACGUCCAUCCAGGUGCGCCCAGGUGCGCUCAGGGGGGCGGCAGGAGGGGCACCAGCAGCCGCAGCGCCCCCAGCCCCAGGGCGGCGGCGCCCAGCGCCCGCAGCCCCAGCGCCCCCCAGGGGCCGAGC
rnacentral:lncRNA from 1 species